rnacentral:misc_RNA from 1 species
GAUGAAGAACGUAGUGAAAUGCGAUAAGUAUUGUGAAUUGCAGAAUCCAGUGAAUCAUCGAGUCUUUGAACGCACAUUGCGCCCCCUGGUAUUCCGGGGGGCAUGCCUGUCCGAGCGUCAUUGCUGCCCUCAAGCACGGCUUGUGUGUUGGGCCUCCGUCCUCCUCCCGGGGGACGGGCCCGAAAGGCAGCGGCGGCACCGCGUCCGGUCCUCGAGCGUAUGGGGCUUCGUCACCCGCUCUUGUAGGCCCGGCCGGCGCUUGCCGACACAUCAAUCUUUUUUCCAGGUUGACCUCGGAUCAGGUAGGGAUACCCGCUGAACUUAAGCAUAUCAAUAAGCGGAGGA